GCUUUAAAUAGUCAAAAUUAUGAUAUUAGACUGCAAUUCUAAAGUUGGUGUUAUUUACAUCUUAAAGCU
rnacentral:tRNA from 1 species